UCUUUUGAACCACUUUAUUUGCAUGAACCCUUUAAAUGAACUGAUUCCUCAAAAUGAAUAGGCCUAGUAUGAAAAGUAUAAGAAAGAGCACACUUAUUGUGCACUUGAAUAUUACUUUAGUUGGCUUGUCUGUCAGCCUUAUCUACAAUGUAGUUUUUGCUAUAGAACAUUCUGUUUUGCUUUAGAAUAUAGGUAGACGUAGUAACUACAUAUAGCUAAGCUAUUUUGCUACUUUUAGUUAUCCACAACACUAAUAGAGGUCUCAAAUAACAUAUUUAGAGAGCUUGUAGCACCUCUGGCCUUAUCAGCUGUUUGUUUGUGUCAAAGAAAGAAAGAAAAAAAGCCCUGUUACAAAAUGUUAUCAGACUUUCACCUGUUAUACUCAAUUAGCCCUCUGUGAAACGGGAGCCCUUUUUAAGGAGCUGUUAUCAACGUGCCUGCAUGUGGGCAAAGAGGGCCGGGAGGAAGUUGUGGCGCCCAGGGUUUAUUUUCAAAAUCUCCACCUUUGCUUUUGUGUGUUACUGUAGAUAACAAGUGGAGAGGCAGGCAACUGGCAACUGAUGACAGGGUCGAGAGGAGAGUCAGGAUGAGGGGGGGCAACCAAUAAGAUGCUUAGGUGAUGCCACUGAAGAGUGAUGACAUCGGCGAGUGAUGCAACACUUUCUCCACAUCUUUCUGGGAAAGGAUUUGAGAAAGCACUGAUAAGUCAUCAGGGACACAAACCAUACUCUGAUUUGCAUGCAGGGCCUGGACGUGGUGGAAAGUGCCGUCAGGCCACAAAGGCACCUUGGCAGAUAAUGAGUGGCGUAUUCCAGGUACAGCCCCGGAGUAUCGCUCCUCAUCAGGGGAAUUUUCAAUUAAGGGAUGCAGAUUAAUAAAGCAUAAUUGUGAGGCUCAAUCUACCCGUGGAGAGAGUGGGAGGAGGAGGACAUGAACGCACUCCGCCGGCAGAGCACAGCCCUCCAGACAAAACCGCACCAUCCUUUACUGCAGUCUAAUGAAACCGCAUGGCCGACGUUUCGCAAUAAUGUACAGAAGCAGCACCUGUGGUUAUGUAAGAUAAUGGCUUGAGUAUAGGAACUGAGGUGGUGGCUUUUCUCACUGUUUAUCUUGUGAGUUAUGGACAAAUGUCCCACACAAUAUGCAUGCAUCUUCUGUUUGAACAAGGAAGAGUAAACAACAAGGGCAUGUCCCAGGCAUUGUUUUUAUUUUUAUUUUAUAUUUUAUGUUUUAUAUUUUUUUAUUUGAAUUUCAUGUUAAAACUGUGAAAAAAGUGGAAACUAUUUAGUAUAUCUUAAUGGUUUUUAUUUAUUUUCUAAUGCCUUUUAUGGUAAUAUUUAUCUUAAAAGUGUCAAAAUAUGUUAGUUAUUAAGGAGACAAAUUCAGUGUCAAUGAAGAGUUUGAGAUGAAAAAGGAAAAUGUAGGUAAAUAUGAGGUCUAGAAACAUUUUCUAAAGCCUUUUAUGUUACUAAUUAUCUUAAAAGUGUCAAAAUAUGUUAGUUAUUAAGAAGACAAAAUCCAGAGUCAAUGAGUCAAUGAAGGGUUUGAGAUGAAAAAGGAAAUGUAUGUUAAUACAAGUUAUAGAAAAAUUACAAGUUAUGUGAAAAUAUGUAAUCUUGUGAAAAUACACCAAAAACAAUGCUAAUGCUAAAAAAUGCUAAAAAAAAUGGUUAAAUGUAAAAUAAGUAAUUAAAUCAACACAACACACACACACACACACACACACACACACACACACACACACACACACAUAUAUAUAUACACACACACACACACACACACACACACACACACACACACACACACACACACAUAUAUAUAUAUAUAAAAUUUGUAAAGAAUAUUCUUAUUUUGUGUCAUUUCCAGUUGUAAUUUCAUCAAAUUAUGUAAAAAUAAAGUAUUCUGUUUUAUUAUUUAUUAUUUUGAAAAAGUAUGAAAUUUGCCUUUUCAAAACCAAGACCUACCAAAAUCGUCAAUUUUACACAAAAAAUAUUUAACAUGUCAGUAACACUUUAGAACAGGGAACACAUAUUCACUAUUAACUAAGAGGUUUCCUGAACAAACUCCUAAUUUGCUACUUGUUAAUAGUUAGUUAAGUUUAGGUAUGGGGUGGGUUAAGUAUAAACCCACCCCAUAGAGUAGAUAGAGUAUAAAAAGUGUGCUUUAAGAGUUUAUUUUGUAGUCCAGAGAGCCAAAAGUGCCCCUAUAGUUAAAGAAACACCAAUAUAUGUGCAGGAUCAAGCAGCUGAUUGGUCACACACACACACACACACACACACACACACACACACACACACACAUAUAUAUAUAUAUAAAAUUUGUAAAGAAUAUUCUUAUUUUGUGUCAUUUCCAGUUGUAAUUUCAUCAAAUUAUGUAAAAAUAAAGUAUUCUGUUUUAUUAUUUAUUAUUUUGAAAAAGUAUGAAAUUUGCCUUUUCAAAACCAAGACCUACCAAAAUCGUCAAUUUUACACAAAAAAUAUUUAACAUGUCAGUAACACUUUAGAACAGGGAACACAUAUUCACUAUUAACUAAGAGGUUUCCUGAACAAACUCCUAAUUUGCUACUUGUUAAUAGUUAGUUAAGUUUAGGUAUGGGGUGGGUUAAGUAUAAACCCACCCCAUAGAGUAGAUAGAGUAUAAAAAGUGUGCUUUAAGAGUUUAUUUUGUAGUCCAGAGAGCCAAAAGUGCCCCUAUAGUUAAAGAAACACCAAUAUAUGUGCAGGAUCAAGCAGCUGAUUGGUUCACACUGUGUGUCUGAGUGUGUAGAUAAGAAAUGACAUAGCAACUUGCCAAAAGCAUUUUCUCUCUGAAAGCCUUUUCUAAGUCGUUCACACCUAUGAACAAAAACGCAGAGCGACUGUCUUUAUCUGAGUUUAUCUGCCGUCAUCUAGCUCACAUCCACAGCGAACAGAGCUGGGUAAACAUUUAACACCUUUAGCAAAGCUACUUUUGCUCUUAGUCAGAUGUUUAACAAGAGGACAAGUUGUUUUCCUUGUUGGUUAGUUCAGAAAACAUUCCAUUCGCCUCCACUCCCUUGACCUGUCACCGAACAAUGUUUGCUCUAAAGCUGUGAUUUAUCUGAAAGCUACAACACACAAGCCCUCCGCUGCACACAUAGAAACACACACCCACACAUUUACUUGUAAACACAUUCAUACAUGUACGUGCACAUCCACAUACACAAAGCAACGAGUGCAAACUAUUAAACCUGUUUGUGCAGCCUUGCAUUAAACGGCCUUAUUAAGAUAAAAGCUCUUAUUUAGAUCUUUGAAAGUCACAGAUGAAUAAUCAAACCUUGAAUGUGUGAAGCAGAUUUUUGGGUGUUAUUAGAUAUAAGCCAGAUAUAAGCUGAAUACAUGUAAAUACCAACUACAACAAAUCCUAACAAAUGCUUUGGGCAAUUACAACAAUCCAUUUGUAAGGAUGUGCAAAUUACCUCAAUGGGUUUGUAAAUGUUUGUGAUGCUGUUCCUUGUCGUUUUACGGCCCGCUUUGCAGGGAAGUAAAAGAACAGAUCUGCUUUGCAUGACACAUGAGUGCGCUCACCUCUGCGUGAGAGGUGCAAGUCUGCAUGUCUUUGUCUUACCGUGAUUUAAGGGUAUGUAUGUGUGCGUUGGUGCCCUUCCAUGUGGAAGAGGCCCUUGACAUAGACACAGGAAAGUUGUGCAAGAAAAAGCAUCAGGCAUCUUUUUUGCCCUCGGGACGUGGGGCAGCAGAGCCCAGAGGAGGCAAUGCUGCAGUGUGAGUGACAGGCGUGCAGGGCUGCUCGGGUUGGGGCUGGUUUAGUUCAC
rnacentral:lncRNA from 1 species